rnacentral:rRNA from 3 species
GAGCACGUAGGUGGGUUUGUAAGUCAGAUGUGAAAGCCUUCUGUUCAACGGGAGAAUUGCAUCUGAAACUACAGACCUUGAGUAUAGGAGGGGAGAAUGGAACUUCUGGUGGAGCGGUGAAAUGCGUAGAUAUCAGAAGGAACGCCGGCGGCGAAAGCGAUUCUCUGGCCUAUUACUGACACUCAGUGUGCGAAAGCUAGGGGAGCAAACGGGAUUAGAUACCCCGGUAGUCCUAGCCGUAAACGAUGGGCACUAAGUAGAGGGGUUUU